rnacentral:rRNA from 1 species
UUUUAAUGAGAGUUUGAUCCUGGCUCAGGACGAACGCUGGCGGCGUGCCUAAUACAUGCAAGUAGAACGCUGAUGUUUGGUGUUUACACUAGACUGAUGAGUUGCGAACGGGUGAGUAACGCGUAGGUAACCUGCCUCAUAGCGGGGGAUAACUAUUGGAAACGAUAGCUAAUACCGCAUAAGAGUGAUUAACACAUGUUAGUUAUUUAAAAGGAGCAAUUGCUUCACUG